rnacentral:rRNA from 1 species
AUUGAACGCUGGCGGCAGGCCUAACACAUGCAAGUCGAACGGUAACAGGAAGCAGCUUGCUGCUUUGCUGACGAGUGGCGGACGGGUGAGUAAUGUCUGGGAAACUGCCUGAUGGAGGGGGAUAACUACUGGAAACGGUAGCUAAUACCGCAUAACGUCGCAAGCCCAAAGAGGGGGACCUUCGGGCCUCUUGCCAUCGGAUGUUCCCAGAUGGGAUUAGCUAGUAGGUGGGGUAACGGCUCACCUAGGCGACGAUCCCUAGCUGGUCUGAGAGGAUGACCAGCCACACUGGAACUGAGACACGGUCCAGACUCCUACGGGAGGCAGCAGUGGGGAAUAUUGCACAAUGGGCGCAAGCCUGAUGCAGCCAUGCCGCGUGUAUGAAGAAGGCCUUCGGGUUGUAAAGUACUUUCAGCGGGGAGGAAGGGAGUAAAGUUAAUACCUUUGCUCAUUGACGUUACCCGCAGAAGAAGCACCGGCUAACUCCGUG